GACAUUUACAAGAACUGGCGGCGGCAGCAGCAGCAGCAGCAGCAGCAGCAGCAGCAGCAGCAGCAGCAGCAACUGGAUUUGCUUUUUCACCAGAGGAUCCAGAUUUCCCUGUGGCCUCGCAAACAAAAAAGAAGGAAGACGGAGCAGCACAGUCAUUCCUUUGUGAAAAAGGCAUUCAGAGACGGGGUUUCACCGUGUUAGCCAGGAUGGUCUCGAUCUCCUGACCUCGCGAUCCGCCCGCCUCGGCCUCCCAAAGUGCUGGGAUUACAGGCGUGAGCCACCGCGCCCGGCUUCAGCUGGUUUUUCAAAAGUCAUGGCGUGUAACUGUCCGAACAGUGAACUUCGGAGAUCCACCGGAGGGGCGAGGCCACAGCUCGACCGCGAGCACCUGAGCAUCCUGCACCGCCUGCGACGGCCGUCAGGGGGCGCGAUGCCGCCUCACAGAACCUCAAGAGGCGCCCGGGUUCCGGCACAGACGGCCUGCGGCUCCAGGGGGCGGAACCGAGCCGUCUCCUCAGGACCUACGCAGGAGGCGCCGUCAUCCCUACAGGGACACCUGAGAGGGCCCAGCCUCCUCCUCCUCAGGACCUACUCGGGAGACGCCGCUGGCUCUCUAGGAACACCUGGGGACCGUGGCCAGGGACGACCCAGCCUCCUUCUCCUCAGCUCCUCAGGAACGACUGGGGAAGCUGUGGCUUCAUGGUCCCCGAGGCUGCCCGAGGAAAGACAGAGUCUCAACCAGGCUGGAGUGCAGUGGCGUGAUCUCGGCUCACUGCAACCUCCGCCUCCCAGGAGAAUCACUUGAACUGGGAGAUGGAGGUUGCAGUGAGCUGAGAUCGCACCAGUGCACUCCAGCCUGGGCAACAGAGUGAGACUCCAUCUUAUAAAAGGAAAAAAGAAAGAAAAGAAAAAUUCCAUAUCUGAGUGUUUACUCCUGAGUUUUUGAGAUUGUUAUUAAGAU